AGAGUUUGAUCCUGGCUCAGGAUGAACGCUGGCGGUAUGCCUAACACAUGCAAGUCGAACGGUGUCUUCGGACACAGUGGCGGACGGGUGAGUAACGCGUGAGAAUCAGCCUCUAGGUUGGGGACAACAGUUGGAAACGACUGCUAAUACCCGAUGUGCCGUAAGGUAAAAGAUUUAUUGCCUGGAGAGGAGCUCGCGUCUGAUUAGCUAGUUGGUGGGGUAAAAGCCUACCAAGGCAUCGAUCAGUAGCUGGUCUGAGAGGAUGAGCAGCCACACUGGGACUGAGACACGGCCCAGACUCCUACGGGAGGCAGCAGUGGGGAAUUUUCCGCAAUGGGCGAAAGCCUGACGGAGCAAUACCGCGUGAGGGAGGAAGGCCUUUGGGUUGUAAACCUCUUUUCUCAGGGAAGAAGAUCUGACGGUACCUGAGGAAUAAGCAUCGGCUAACUCCGUGCCAGCAGCCGCGGUAAUACGGAGGAUGCAAGCGUUAUCCGGAAUCAUUGGGCGUAAAGCGUCCGCAGGUGGUUUUUCAAGUCUGCUGUUAAAGACUGGAGCUCAACUCCGGAAAGGCAGUGGAAACUGAGAAACUAGAGUUCGGUAGGGGUAGCGGGAAUUCCCAGUGUAGCGGUGAAAUGCGUAGAUAUUGGGAAGAACAUCGGUGGCGAAGGCGCGCUACUGGACCGAAACUGACACUCAGGGACGAAAGCUAGGGGAGCGAAAGGGAUUAGAUACCCCUGUAGUCCUAGCUGCAAACGAUGGAAACUAGGUGUGGCUUGUAUCGACCCGAGCCGUGCCGUAGCUAACGCGUUAAGUUUCCCGCCUGGGGAGUACGCACGCAAGUGUGAAACUCAAAGGAAUUGACGGGGGCCCGCACAAGCGGUGGAGUAUGUGGUUUAAUUCGAUGCAACGCGAAGAACCUUACCAGGGCUUAAAUGUAAGACGACAGUCCCCGAAAGGGGAUCUUUCUUCGGAACGUCCUACAAGGUGCUGCAUGGUUGUCGUCAGCUCGUGCCGUGAGGUGUCGGGUUAAGUCCCAUAACGAGCGCAACCCCUAUCCUUAGUUGCCAUCAGGUAAUGCUGGGGACUCUAAGGAAACUGCCUACGCAAGUAGCGAGGAAGGUGGGGAUGACGUCAAAUCAGCACGGCCCUUAUGUCCAGGGCUACACACGUGCUACAAUGGCCGGUACAGAGGGCAGCUAUCUGGUGACAGAAUGCUAAUCUCGAAAACCGGUCUCAGUUCGGAUCGAAGUCUGCAACUCGACUUCGUGAAGUCGGAUUCGCUAGUAAUCGCACAUCAGCCAUGGCGCGGUGAGUACGUC
rnacentral:rRNA from 1 species